rnacentral:rRNA from 1 species
UAAAGAUUUUAAGGGCGUACGGUGGAUGCCUUGGCGAUAUCAGCCGAAGAAGGACGCGGUAAGCUGCGAUAAGCUACGGAGAGGUGCAAGCAACCUUUGACCCGUAGAUUUCCGAAUGGGGGAACCCGGCAGUGGUUAUGCACUGUCACCCAUAGCUUAGACUAUGAGGAGGGCACCCGGGGAACUGAAACAUCUAAUUACCCGGAGGAACAGUAAUCAAACGAGAUUUUCUUAGUAGCGGCGAGCGAACGGGAAAGAGGCCAAACCGGAGCGGGCAACCGCACCGGGGUUGAGGACAGUCAUCAAGUGUAAAUGAGGUAGAAGAAUCGAGCUGGAAAGCUCAGCCGCAGAAGGUGAAAGCCCUGUAAUCGAAACCUUGCAUACAUGGGACUGUAUCCAGAGUACCACGAGACACGUGAAACCUUGUGGGAAGCAGGGGGGACCACCCUCCAAGCCAAAAUACUGAUAUCGACCGAUAGCGCAUAGUACCGUGAGGGAAAGGUGAAAAGAACCCCUGGCGGGGAGUGAAAGAGAACCUGAAACCGUAUGUCUACAAACAGUCGAAGUCUGUAUAUAUAUCAGGACGACGGCGUGCCUAUUGAAGAAUGAACCGACGAGUUACUGUUGCUAGCGAGGUUAAGUGGAAAACAUGGAGCCGCAGCGAAAGCGAGUCUGAACAGGGCGUUCAGUUAGUAAUAGUAGACCCGAAACCGUAGUGAUCUAUCCAUGGCCAGGUUGAAGCACAGGUAAAAUUGUGUGGAGGACCGAACUCGUGAGCGUUGAAAAGCUUUGGGAUGAGUUGUGGAUAGGGGUGAAAUGCCAAUCGAACACGGAGAUAGCUGGUUCUCCCCGAAAUAGCUUUAGGGCUAGCCUCGAGGUAGAGAGUAUAGGCGGUAGAGCACUGAUCGGGCUAGGGGCCAUACCGGUUACCGAACCUAGUCAAACUACGAAUGGCUAUACUUAUACUCGGGAGUCAGACAGUGAAUGAUAAGGUCCAUUGUCAAGAGGGAAACAGCCCAGAACACCGACUAAGGUCCCCAAUGUUACACUAAGUGGCGAAGGAUGUGGAAUUUCCAAAACAACCAGGAUGUUGGCUUAGAAGCAGCCACCAUUUAAAGAGUGCGUAAUAGCUCACUGGUCGAGAGACUCUGCGCCGAAAAUGUCCGGGGCUAAAGUGUAAAACCGAAGUCGUGUCAUAUGCAGCAAUGUAUAUGGGUAGGGGAGCGUUCUCAUCGGGCUGAAGCAGUACCGUAAGGAGUUGUGGACUGAUGAGAAGUGAGAAUGUCGGUAUGAGUAGCGAAAAGAAUGGUGAGAAUCCAUUCCACCGAAAGCCUAAGGGUUCCUGAGCAACGAUCGUCGUCUCAGGGUAAGUCGGGACCUAAGCCGAGGCGGAAAAGCGUAGGCGAUGGACAACAGGUUGAAAUUCCUGUACCGGAUCAAGUCGAUCGAGCGAAGGAGCGACGCAGGAGGGCACAUGAUCGCGCGGCUGGAAGAGCGCGUCCAAGUGCGUAUGUUGCCGCAGAGGAAAACCCCUGCAGCUAAAAGCAGAGACAUGAAGGGGAGUUAAAGGAAACUUUGACGAACUCAUGGAUCCCACACUGCCAAGAAAAACUUCUAGCGAGACAAGAUCCGCCCGUACCGUAAACCGACACAGGUAGGCGGGGAGAGAAUCCUAAGGUGCGCGGGAAAACCCUCGUUAAGGAACUCGGCAAAUUGCAUCCGUAACCUAGGGAGAAGGAUGGCCCCCGGUCAGUGAAGAGCAGAAACGCUCAGAGCUAAAAGGGGCGGCAGAAAAGAGGCCCAAGCAACUGUUUACCAAAAACACAGGUGCCUGCGAAAGCGAAAGCUGAAGUAUAGGUGCUGACGCCUGCCCGGUGCCGGAAGGUUAAGGAGAGAAGUUAGCGAAAGCGAAGCAUCGAACUGAAGCCCCGGUGAACGGCGGCCGUAACUAUAACGGUCCUAAGGUAGCGAAAUUCCUUGUCGGGU